AUAGUGUUCAAAAAGAAAUGUACUCAUUGGAUACAGAGAAGAAUAGCAUGGCCCCUGCACAAGGAUGACACGCAAAUUCGUGAAGCGUUACAUAUUUUU
rfam:Dipodomys ordii contig_22717, whole genome shotgun sequence.